AUACUCGGACCUGAGAAAUGGUUUCUUCUACCUCUAAAACGCUUGUACCACUACCCCUUGCAACACGUAAAACACGAGAGGGUUGUUCAACAAAUAGAAGACCAUCCGAAUCUAACUCUUGUUCGGUCAUUGAAUCAACGAUGUAGAGCAUACGCUUCAUACGCAAAGAUCCCUCCUCAUCAUUCAUACCGUUCAUCAUAUUACUCAUGCCUGGAAUCAUACUAGCCAUUUUACUAAGUGGUCCCAAUUUCAUAAUAUUUCCGAGUUGAUCUCGAAAGUCUCGGACCGUAAACUUUCCUUGCUCAAGAUUUUUAACCAUAUUCUUUUUAUCAAAAUCUAAAGACUGAACGUGUUCCAUCAGACCUUCAAGAUCACCGAGUCCGAGUAGCUUUGAGAUAAAAGAACGUGGAGAAAAGCGCUCCAAAUCAUUAAUAUGUUCACCGGUACCAAUGAACACGAUGGGUGUCUUAGUCGCAGCCACGGCG